rnacentral:rRNA from 1 species
GACGAACGCUGGCGGCGUGCUUAACACAUGCAAGUCGAGCGGUAGGGCCCUUUGGGGUACACGAGCGGCGAACGGGUGAGUAACACGUGAGUAAUCUGCCUUUGGCUUGGGAAUAACUUCGGGAAAUCGGGGCUAAUGCCUGAUGUUUACUGUCUGCUGCAUGGUGGGUGUGGAAAGAUUUUUGGCCAGGGAUGAGCUCGCGGUCUAUCAGCUUGUUGGUGGGGUAAU